CGUACACUCCUGCGGGAGGCAGCAGUGAGGAAUAUUGGACAAUGGGUGGAAGCCUGAUCCAGCCAUCCCGCGUGCAGGAAGACGGCCCUAUGGGUUGUAAACUGCUUUUAUCUGGGGAUAAACCUACUUACGUGUAAGUAGCUGAAGGUACCAGAAGAAUAAGCACCGGCUAACUCCGUGCCAGCAGCCGCGGUAAUACGGAGGGUGCAAGCGUUAUCCGGAUUUAUUGGGUUUAAAGGGUCCGUAGGCGGACUGAUAAGUCAGUGGUGAAAUCCGACAGCUUAACUGUCGAACUGCCAUUGAUACUGUUAGUCUUGAGUAAGGUUGAAGUGGCUGGAAUAAGUAGUGUAGCGGUGAAAUGCAUAGAUAUUACUUAGAACACCAAUUGCGAAGGCAGGUCACUAAGUCUUAACUGACGCUGAUGGACGAAAGCGUGGGGAGCGAACAGGAUUAGAAACCCUGGUAGUCCCA
rnacentral:rRNA from 1 species